rnacentral:rRNA from 1 species
GACAGAGGAUGCAAACGUUGCUCGGAAUUACUGGGCGUAAAGCGCGCGCAGGCGGUCCCGUAAGUCGGGUGUGAAAGCCCCGGGCUCAACCCGGGAAGUGCACUCGAUACUGCGAGACUGGAGUACUGGAGAGGAGAGCGGAAUUCUCGGUGUAGAGGUGAAAUUCGUAGAUAUCGGGAGGAACACCAGCGGCGAAGGCGGCUCUCUGGACAGAUACUGACGCUGAGGCGCGAAAGCGUGGGAAGCAAACAGG